rnacentral:rRNA from 1 species
AAACUCGCCUAUAUGAAGUCGGAAUUGCUAGUAAUCGCGGAUCAGCAUGCCGCGGUGAAUACGUUCCCGGGCCUUGUACACACCGCCCGUCACACCAUGAGAGUCGAUAACACCCGAAGCCUGUAGUCUAACCGUAAGGGGGACGCAGUCGAAGGUGGGAUUGAUAAUUAGGGUGAAGUCGUAACAAGGUACC